ensembl:lncRNA
CCACACACACACACUCGAAUGCAUACGAACCUGUUUAUAAAGUCGAGCACUUCGAAAGUUUUAACAUCGGAAAAGGUUCGACCGAAUUUCCAGAGUCAGUUCUUCACUACUUCGAAAGUUUGAACAUCGGCAAAGUUCAACAGAAUUUCCAGAGUCUAUCCUUCACUACUUCCAGACACCAUGGAUUUCUCGGCAGUGCAAGACCGAGUUAAGCGCAUCUGAUUCUAGUGUAUAGACAGCUUGGUGAUUAUUUCUGAUGAUGAGAUUCCCGAAACAACCACUCAUGACCUUUUGAAUCUGAGUUCCACACGUAAGUCAUAACAUAAAAUUAUGAAUGUUUUAUGCUGUAAAAGUCUUUCAUACGUGAAUAUAACAUUAUUUGUAUCAUAUUCAGAAUUUGAGGGAAACGUGACUAACAGUGAUUAUGACGGAGAUAUUUCAGAUACGAGUAAUGCAAUAGAAGACCAAGAGGAAAUUAUCUCGGAAACCGACAUUCAACAAGACAUCGAACUACAACAGAUUUGCGCAAUGUGGCGUGAAUUCUUCGAAGCAAAGACUGAUUUAUUGGAAAACUUUGGACAGAUUGAUUAUACACUUGAUUCUGGUCGAGGUACAGAUUUUAUCCCUUUACUGUACAGCACGCUUGAAAAUGUGAAUAGAUGUCUCACAGUGAGCAUAAAGUUGAUUAGAAAAUUGUAUGAUAGAUAUGGCGCAGAAGCGACUGAAAUGCAGUUCGGAUAUGGAGACUAAAAAAAAGAGAACCGAAAAUUCUCCAUUAUCACAUGAUUUCUUUUAUGACGGAAACCAGAGUUUUUCAAAUGAUUCGCACACACCCCUGAACCCAUGUUUAACUGAAGCGAUCAACCGGCUGAACGAAAGUUUAAUUCCGUCACACCAAGUCGUUAGUGAGAGACCUAAUCAUAGUCCAAAUCACGUCGUAUCAAACACAACGGUGACGCCGAAUGAUAUAUUUUCUGAAUUAAAUCAAUGUCUGUUAGAGUUACAUAAUAACCUAAAUGAACACGGUCAUUCAGUACAAAUAAACCCUGAUCUAAUCGAUGCAGUCAAUCAGUUGAAUGAAAAUUUAAGAUCGUCAGAACAGAGCAAUACUCAAAAUGAAAACCCCAGUCGAAAUUCCAUUCAAACUGUAUCAAGUACGCCGGUGACAUAUUUUUCGAAUUAAAUCAAUGUCUGUUAGAGCUACAAAAUAACCUAAUUGAACAAAGAGAAUCUAUGCAGAUAAAUCCAUGUUUAAUAGACGUGGUGAAUCAAAUCAAUGAAAAUAUGUCAUUAUCUCCCGUUCAGAAUAUCGUCUCGACUCCAGAAAACGCUCAGGAACCUAGACCGUUAUGUUCUCAUGAUAUGAUACACGAACUUAAUCAAAGUCUUAUGAGGAUAAAUGACGGUCUUGUUAACUUAAUCGAAAACCCUGACAAUAUUGCACAAAAUUCGGAAAACGAUAAUGAACGCAACCGCCCAAUGGAAAACAUACACUCACCUAAUACCCAAGAUUCUCAAAUGGAAAACAUACAUUCGCCCGAUACCCAAGAUUCUCAAAUGGAAAACUCGCCCGAUAUCCAAGUAGAGCAAGAGGGUGAUGGAUUAGAUCCUAAUAUUAGAAUAAUUAAUCGGGAAAGAUUCAACAACACUGAGAUUAGGAGAAGAGUGAAUUUUUCUU